rnacentral:lncRNA from 1 species
CAUGGGUAUGCAUUUCAGCAAGGCAGCCGUCACACACUGCCCGUCCCUCCAGGAGAAACAGAGGCCACGCACACAACUGAUGCUCCAGGCACCUCGCUGCAGCUGCCGGAGCCCAGCCCGAUGCCCGUGCCCACACCUCGCACUUGGACGGAUGGCCUGCUUUCUUCAAGGCGCCCGACAAACAGACACGGUUCCAACGGCGAACACCUGUGCCGGGACGACCUGCCCACUGGCAGCAGGGCACCACCAGAGCGGCCCCUGCCAGGCCAGAUAGCUGCCGGGCUCAGCUGCCCCUGCCUCGGCCCUCACAGCCCACCAACCCAGGCUCCGUGGCACCCAGGAUGUGCAACAGGCCCAGCAGCCCCCAGCUGCCCCAGGCAUCAAUACCGCCCCCCCGUCCCCCUCCACCCUCUUUCAGGGAGCGGGAGGAACUCGCCCUGGUUGGAGGCUUGUGGUCAUCGGCCGGCACCCAAACAAAGGCUCCUUGGCAGAUGAGUGACAGGCCCAGCUGCCCCCGGGCAUCAACACCACCACCCCGUCCCCCUCCACCAUCCUUCAGGGGAUAGGAACAGUUCCCCCAGGCUGUAGGCUUGACAGCUCUGUCCUUCAGGAGGUUGGAGCAGGCCACCCAAGGUGUCGGUUUGCGGGCAUCAUCCAACACCCAGAAUACCACUGCCAGGGGGAAGUAUGACAGGCCCAGCAGCCCCCAGCCCUGGACAGCAGCCACCAGACAGCAGGCACCAUCCUGCUCUGACUAGGAGGCAGUAAUUUGCUCUGCAAUAGGAACCAAGCAAGAACUAUUAGCACAUUUUCUUCCUCCUCUAUUUCAUUUCACUUUGUGGGCUAGAAUGAAAAUCUGGAAGUUGAGAGAGAAGGGAUGAAGACAGUGCUGUAAACCUCGUAUGUCUGCCACUGCUAUCACUCUGUGAUAAAGCACUAGCUUUAUCAUAGAGUGAUAGCUCUCCAGCACCUGCCCGAGGUCACUGAUUUCUCAGGAUCCUCCAAGGGGUGCAACAUUCCUGUGUUUCCUCUCAACUCUCAGCACUGCUACACUCUUCAAG